CGCGGGGUGGAGCAGUGGUAGCUCGUCGGGCUCAUAACCCGGAGGUCAGCGGUUCGAAUCCGCUCCCCGCAACCA
rnacentral:tRNA from 1 species